rnacentral:misc_RNA from 1 species
UUUAAUCAAGCCAUUGAUUUUGCCAAUCAAUUACAUGAUUUUCUCAUAAUCACCAUUCUUCUAUUCCAACUUAGUUCUCUUAUUUAUUUUCUCCUCCCUACCUUGCUACUCUAAUUCUCUUCCACAACGAGGAAUAGAAAAAGGAAACACUAGAGCCCUAUACCUACAUCUGAUUAUGGGCUUCAUUCACACAAUCCAAAAUUGGAAGUAUGAUGCAUCAAGCCUCAGGACUCAUCUUUACGGCGUGCCCAAAGAAAGACUUGCAACAUAGUACUGUUAUGGAAAGUCAAGCACUAUAUUAUUUCUCUGUAUAUUUUGUAUUCUGUAUUCCUAUUUAGGAAUUCUUAUUUAGGAUUUCUUCCUAA